rnacentral:rRNA from 1 species
UACAGAGGUCUCAAGCGUUGUUCGGAUUCAUUGGGCGUAAAGGGUGCGUAGGCGGCGCGGUAAGUCGGGUGUGAAAUCUCGGAGCUUAACUCCGAAACUGCAUUCGAUACUGCCGUGCUUGAGGACUGGAGAGGAGACUGGAAUUUACGGUGUAGCGGUGAAAUGCGUAGAUAUCAGGAGGAAUACCGGUGGUGCAGACGGCUCUCUGGGCCUUACCUGACGCUCAGGCGCGAAAGCUAGGGGAGCGAACAGG